GACGUAGGGGGCCAGCGUUGCUCGGAAUUACUGGGCGUAAAGGGUUCGUAGGCGGUGUGGCAAGUCGGUAGUGAAAUCUCCAGGCUUAACUUGGAGGCUGCUGCCGAAAUUGCCGUGCUAGAGUGCAGGAGAGGCGAGUGGAAUUACAGGUGUAGCGGUGAAAUGCGUAGAUAUCUGUAGGAACACCCGUGGCGAAGGCGGCUCGCUGGACUGCAACUGACGCUGAGGAACGAAAGCUAGGGGAGCAAACAGG
rnacentral:rRNA from 1 species